rnacentral:rRNA from 1 species
UGGGGAAUAUUGCACAAUGGGCGCAAGCCUGAUGCAGCGACGCCGCGUGAGGGAUGACGGCCUUCGGGUUGUAAACCUCUUUCACCAGGGACGAAGCGCAAGUGACGGUACCUGGAGAAGAAGCACCGGCCAACUACGUGCCAGCAGCCGCGGUAAUACGUAGGGUGCGAGCGUUGUCCGGAAUUACUGGGCGUAAAGAGCUCGUAGGUGGUUUGUCGCGUUGUUCGUGAAAACUCACAACUCAAUUGUGGGCGUGCGGGCGAUACGGGCAGACUAGAGUACUGCAGGGGAGACUGGAAUUCCUGGUGUAGCGGUGGAAUGCGCAGAUAUCAGGAGGAACACCGGUGGCGAAGGCGGGUCUCUGGGCAGUAACUGACGCUGAGGAGCGAAAGCGUGGGGAGCGAACAGGAUUAGAUACCCUGGUAGUCCACGCCGUAAACGGUGGGUACUAGGUGUGGGUUCCUUCCUUGGGAUCCGUGCCGUAGCUAACGCAUUAAGUACCCCGCCUGGGGAGUACGGCCGCAAGGCUAAAACUUAAAUGAAUUGACGGGGUCAUAGCUGUUUCCU